ACUAGUGGUGGGAGAGACUGCAUCCAAUUGAACUGUUAGUUUUUUGAUAGAAUUUUUAAGAGAGGUGAGUUUUGACUCAGUCCAUCUAUGAUUUGCCUCUUCCCACCACUGCAUGAAGCAGUCUACUUCUCCUCUGUCCAAUUUGGUUUUUGGGAGGACGAGUUUGCUUUUUAAAACGUCCACUCGAUCCUUGUCCCAAGAACCUAACAGUGGCCACUGUAAUUUGGGGUUCUCUAGAGCUAAUUUGGACCAUUUUUCAAGAAACCUACAAGAGUCCGGACCCCUCCUAAAAUACAUAAAAUAAGCUGGAGUUCCCUGAGGGAACUGUUCUACCUUAGACUUCUGAUUACCCAUCCAGGAGGACUUCACACAGCACUCACACAAGAAGGAAAUUCAGGCUCAGCAGAGCGGUGCCCGGUGCAACACACAGAAAGGAGCCCACAGGCUACUGCCUCAACUGCCCUUGCUUUCACACCAGGGGUUAUACCCAAGGCGUGGUGCGGCUGCAGCUGUGCAGAUUCCACUUAUUCAGACCGUGGGGACGGGGACCCCUUGGUCAGCCAGUCUCCGGACAGAGAUGGCUCCCAGAUUCACACACACACCACGGGGAAGACGGAUAGACACAAAGACAAGACAGUCCUCAAACCGGUUAAAGCAGAAAAAUAAUAAUUACCUGAGACGUCUGAUUCCAGAAGCUGGAUCCAAAGACCCCUACCCGAACAGAGUGGGAACCAACAAGUUCAAUGGCGUAGACUGCGCUGCUGCUGUGUACCUUUCUGUCUUGUGGAGGAUCGCUUGGACUAAGCGUCCAGGCGCCGGCUGCCACGAUCGUCCUGCAAGGCAGUCAGGGAUCACACAGCCUCAGUGAAGCCGCUUGCCAUCUCGGUAGAACCUCCAAAUUGUCAAAGUUUGACUCAGACUCACAAUUUAUCAGACCACUCUGUUUUAUUAGCAAAGCUGCUCUGCUAAUACAUUUAGAAGUGAGCCCCCUGAGUGGGGCUUGUGUCUUUUAAUUUAUACAGUUUUUUGGAGAACAAGUUACAGAGAAGUUACAGACAAAAGAAGAAAAAGAUUUUAGUCACCACCCUUCGAGAUCCCUGAGACCAGUCACGUAUCUUCAAUUACCUGCCACCCUUAACAAUCUCCUUUAACAGCUUCCAGUUAACUGAACUAAUUGCCCUUCACACCUUCCAUUCUGAUGCCUGAUUCUUAGACGUGCUGGCUCUAUCUUAAUUGCUUCUCCAUUCAAAAGCUAACUGUCCCUACGUGUGCUCCCUCAGAUACUUUGUAACAUGUUUUGGCAUGCCCUCUCAUAUACAAUGUAUCCAGCAUGUCCCCUUAUACAACGUUAUACUUAUACAAUGUUAUACUUCCACACCCAUUACACUGUGAAAUAAAUACUAAAAAGUGAAUCGUGAAACGUGCUUUUUGGCGAGUUGAUUGUGCCCAUGUAGCACAAACCAUACCACUGUUUCCAAAGCCAGAUGUACCAAAGCCAGGUGCAUGCUCACCUCCUGUCAACUGUUGCCCUUGUUGGGCAGGUCUGCAGUGGCGCAGGCCUCCAGCUAAGUCACACAGUCAAAUGCAUGAACGAACCCGUUCUGGGGUAAAAGGUCCAACAGGGCCUGUCCUUGUGCCCUUGGUAAUGUCUUUAGCCUUGUCUCUGGAUUCAGUUCUUAGCCUCUUCGGGGCUAGCUUUAAUUCCAUGCCUGCCCUGGUAUAGAGCAGUGCCCCUGGGGCUUUCUCCCUGGGGACUCCUUGCCUUCAUCAAUUCUUAUCGCCCCAGCUCUCCAGCCUGCUCACUCCUUCAAGUUCAGUCCCCUUCUGGGAGUAACAAAGUUCAACAAAUGGUUUGCCUUCUGCAUGGUCUUCAGCUCUAUCCUUGAGCCCCUUUAAAUUCUAGCUUUCUUGGGCUUCUAAACAACAUCUUCUCCUUUUCAGGGCUUUGGCCACUCUGUUUUGUGGGGACCCAGGCCUGUCCACUUUUCCAGGUCCCAACCCAGGGACCCUACAAAUAGCAGCCACGUGUUGCUUUCUUUAAUUACUACUGCAUCUCCUGGGCUGCCUCCCACUCUGUCCCAUCACCUUCUUUGUUUCUCUGUCUGUUCCCUGUUUGAGCAGGAUCUCUCCCAGGCCUCCUUGCCUGGAGAGUUUCUCUGUCCUGACGUCUCAGGGUCUUCUCUCAGGCCUCUUUGCCUGGAGAGCUUCCUAGUCCUGUCCCUGCUUGAGCAGGGUUUCUCUCAGUCUGUUUACUUGUGGAAUUUCACAGCCUUUUAGUCCUCCUUCAUUCUUCUGGUCCCAGCCAACAAAUGACCUGUUCAAGCCCUCCUUUUAACUGAGCCUACUGGGCUCUGAUUGGCAAUUUCCCUGCAGCCUUUCUAGGCAGGCCUAGAGGACCCACCUUUACUGCUCCUAUUCUGAGACAGGGUAUGGUAGGACUGGGAGGCCUCCUGCUGGGGGCCUCAAAAGCCCCAGUACACCCCAUAAUACCAUGACAUACUGCACCAACCUGACAGAAAACGUAUAUGGAUAUGGUGUAACCAUUCUUGAGGUAACAAGCUGAUUCUCAGUCUUCGGUAUCUCCCUGCCUCCCUAUAUCCUAGGGUGGGCUAUUAAUUAGAGACUGUUGGGAUUCAGUCCCAAAUAUUAUGUUCUAGCUAACAGUCACAUUAUAGACAUUGUAGUAUCUAAUGUGGCUAUUGUAUUGGGUGCAGCUCCAUAUGCUGCCACUGGGGGAUACCUGGAGGGCUUGUAGCUUCUUCUGCCCGUGUUGAUUCCAGUGGUUGUAAUCCUGGUGUCAACCCAACUCACCACAUUAUAUGCUUUCUAGGCCACAGAGCAGGGAAUGCAGGCUUGUGAGGGGCUAAUUCAAUUUAAUUCCACAGAAACAAGGUACGGAGCUAACUGCACAUGCUCCCUUCAAUCACUGCUCCAUUCCUUGUGCUGUCUUUGCUCUUGCUUCAGGGGAAAGAGGGGCUGGCAGGAGGGAAAAACUUUUGAGUCUGGAGAAGUCUGUUUUUUGUAAUGUGUCCCACGUUUUCAUUAUGGAAGGGGAAGUAUGGUGGCAGAAGGAGUGUAUGAUGUGGACCUGUAACAUUAUAUAUGAGACAACUUGCUACUUUUCAGUGUGCUGUUUAUCAGUUACAAUAAAACCAACAAAUCUGCUGUUGGGAAAUCUAAAGCAUGGUAUGGUCAAGUGUGAUUUGAAGAAGAUGUUUGCAAAAGGGCCUGAAAAUAAUCAGUUGUCUGGCAUAGUUAAUAAUGAAGAACCAUUUAAUACUGUUCAGUGAGUUUAUUUUCUACAUAUUGUACUAUGUAUCAAUAUUACCCUUUGUUUUAGAUUUGGGGAUCAUAACUUUUUCAGCUCGAAUUCAAAACAUCCUUUACAUACAUAAAUAGAUAAUUUUAUAAGAACAUAUAAUUGAGCACUUUCCCUAGUAAACUAAAUCUAAAUUUAGAAAAACCUACCAAUGUCAAGUUUUUAGGCUUUAUUCAAUACCAUUCUUUUUUAAUUUAUGCACAUAUAAUACCACAGGAAGAGAUGGUAUAAAUUUGUGGACUGUGGAGAAUGAGUGAACAUUUUUGAAUCAGGAUCUUUAAAAGGGGUGAAAUUUGAGUAUGAUUAAGUUAGGAAAAAGGCUCGCUUACGGCGGAAGUCAGAGACUCUGUAUACAUUAUAGGCAUGUCAUGGCUUUUAAAAAGUUAUGUUAGACUUCUAUACAAAUUGUGAAAGAAUUUGUAUAACCCCAAAUAAAAUUCCGUGUGGUUCUAAACUCUUACAACAGCACAACAUGAAGUAAAAUAAAAAGGAGUGAAAUGAUAAUAGUAGUUAGUAUUCAGAUCAGGAGUGAGCCUUGCUGUAGGGCAGUCUGGUAGUUUACACUGCAUGGGUGUUUUGCUGGUCACUAAUUUUCUCGGAAGGAAAUGAUCCCAUGGCUUAUGCUAUCCACGUUUGUGCAUAU